CAGCGCCACUAGUGGGAACCGUUUUUAUUGGGCCUAAAGCGUCCGUAGCCGGUUUUGAAAAUCUCUUGUGAAAUCGUUCGGCUCAACCGAACGGCGUGCAGGAGACACUGCAAAACUAGGGACCGGGAGGGGUCAGAGGUAUUCUGGGGGGAGCGGUAAAAUGCUAUAAUCCCCGGAGGACCACCGGUGGCGAAGGCGUCUGACCAGAACGGAUCCGACGGUGAGGGACGAAAGCCAGGGGAGCAAUCCGGAUUAGAUACCCGAGUAGUCC
rnacentral:rRNA from 1 species